rnacentral:piRNA from 1 species
UUCACACCUCUACGCUGCCGCCUGUG